CCCAGGUCCAUGCUCAGCAGAAAGCAGAUCUUUCACAGUGAGAGUUGGAUUGAAAUACUAACCGAGCCUCCCAGCUACUACCUAGGUGCUUUUGAAACAGGUGCUUCUUGACUGGGAAGGAGUGGAAGAGGUCCUAGGUGCAGAAGGGUAUGGAAGAUAAGGUCAAAGGAUGUGCUGGUGGGAAUGGGAGACAACUGAGAAGGUGAGACAAGCUGGAGGAAAUGUCAGGAGCUGCUGAGAGAAGCUCAGCCUGACC
rnacentral:lncRNA from 1 species